AGAGAGGACAAAACACAACCACAUGCACACACUUUUACACACACAGAACCAUAUAUGUUUAUCGACCUGAUACAGGGAAAUCAGUGGGCUACGGGUGCUGUCCCCCCAUUUGAAAUCUAAGCAUGCCAAGAAGAAGGCAGAGAGGUGAAAGAAAGUGGAGAGAGAUUGAAUGAAAGAAACUGAGGAGCAAAGGAAGAGAGAGAGAGAAAGAGAGAAAAUAACACCACACAGCAGCAGCUCCAGGGCUUGACAUCAGCGAGAUUUACUGCACUAAUAUGCCUAGCUGCCUGCCAUAAUUAGUUUCUGUAAAAACCCUAUCUUCUCGCUCAGAUUCAAUUAAAUCAUACGGUGUUUAUUCGCAAGAUUUCUUAUUCCACGAUGGGAGGGCUGGCAGGACCCCAAGCUCAGCUCACCCACCUGUUCCUUGCCUGGCACUAUUUCUGUAUCAGUCACGUUUUCAGGUGGUCAGGCAGCCAGGGGAUGAAUGGGUGAGUGUUUGUGCUCGGAGAUACAGGAAGACACCACACACAGCAGCCAGGGCCCUGAAUGAUGUCAUUUUCUUCAUGGCUUAAAAGGAAAACAUGCACCAGAAAUGGGUACCAGAGUGAUAGUGAACCUGGUGUCUGAUCCUAACACUGGUUAUUUUUAAACCCCCUUGUGUCAAGGAGGCAAAACCAGAGUGAUGGUUAUUAAAAGUCAUUUUAAGAACAGGCUCUAGGCUUGUUAGAGAAAAUCCUAACAAACCUAGGCUAUAAGAUAGCAAAACAUCUGAUUCAGGGAAUUGCUCUGUGUGGGAUUUCCUGGUCACUCUCCAGGGGUGACUUGGACGGAAUGCACUAUAUGUGCUGCCCUCCAUUGCCCUUGGGGUGAAAAAACAGCC
rnacentral:lncRNA from 10 species